rnacentral:rRNA from 1 species
CAAUAGCGUAUAUUAAAGCUGUUGCGGUUAAAAAGCUCGUAGUUGGAUUUCUGUCAAGGACAACUGGUCCGCCCUCCGGGUGAGCACAUAGUUUGGUCUUGACAUCUUGCUGGAAGCUGUUGCUGCACUUGGCUGUGUGGCGCAGUGUUCAGCACUUUCACUUUGAGGAAAUUGGAGUGUUUCAAGCAGGCACAUGCCUUUGGACACAGUAGUAUGGAAUAAUUAGAUUGGGCUUUUGCUCCAAUUUGUCGGUUUCUGGAGCUGAGGUGAGUAUUAAUGGGGAUUGUUGGGGGCAUCCGAAUUUAGCCGUCAGAGGUGAAAUUCUUGGAUCUGCUAAAGACGGACAACUGCGAAAGCGUUUGCCCAGGAUGUUUUCAUUGG